rnacentral:rRNA from 1 species
UACGUAGGUGGCAAGCGUUGUCCGGAUUUACUGGGCGUAAAGAGCGCGCAGGCGGUCGUUCAAGUCGCGUGUGAAAGCCCCCGGCUCAACUGGGGAGGGUCACGCGAUACUGAUCGACUCGAAGGCAGGAGAGGGAAGUGGAAUUCCUGGUGUAGCGGUGGAAUGCGCAGAUAUCAGGAGGAACACCUAUGGCGAAGGCAGCUCUCUGGUACGUGACUGACGCUGAGACGCGAAAGCGUGGGGAGCGAACAGG